UCAGCUCAGUUGGUAGAGCAUGUGACUUUUAAUCUCAGCGCCAAUGGUUUGAGCCCCACAUUGGGCAAAA